rnacentral:rRNA from 1 species
CCUGACUGCUAUCGGAUUGAUACUAAGCCAUGCGAGUCAUUGUAGCAAUACAAGGCAGACGGCUCAGUAACGCGUAGUCAAUCUACCCUAUGGACGGGAAUAACCUCGGGAAACUGAGAAUAAUGCCCGAUAGAACAUUAUGCCUGGAAUGGUUUAUGUUCCAAAUGAUUUAUCGCCAUAGGAUGGGACUGCGGCCUAUCAGUUUGUUGGUGAGGUAAUGGCCCACCAAGACUAUUACAGGUACGGGCUCUGAGAGGAGUAGCCCGGAGAUGGGUACUGAGACACGGACCCAGGCCCUAUGGGGCGCAGCAGGCGAGAAAACUUUGCAAUGUGCGAAAGCACGACAAGGUUAAUCCGAGUGGUUUCUGCUAAAGAAACCUUUUGUCAGUCCUAGAAACACUAACGAAUAAGGGGUGGGCAAGUUCUGGUGUCAGCCGCCGCGGUAAAACCAGCACCUCAAGUGGUCAGGAUGAUUAUUGGGCCUAAAGCAUCCGUAGCUCGUUUUGUAAGUUUUCGGUUAAAUCCAUGCGCUUAACGUAUGGGCUGCCGGGAAUACUGCAUAACUAGGAAGUGGGAGAGGUAGACGGUACUCGGGAGGAAGGGGUAAAAUCCUUUGAUCUCUUGAUGACCACCUGUGGCGAAGGCGGUCUACCAGAACACGUUCGACGGUGAGGGAUGAAAGCUGGGGGAGCAAACCGGAUUAGAUACCCGGGUAGUCCCAGCUGUAAACUAUGCAAACUCAGUGAUGCAUUGGCUUAUGGCCAAUGCAGUGCUGCAGGGAAGCCGUUAAGUUUGCCGCCUGGGAAGUACGUACGCAAGUAUGAAACUUAAAGGAAUUGGCGGGGGAGCACCACAAGGGUGAAGCCUGCGGUUCAAUUGGAUUCAACGCC